UGGGGAAUAUUGCACAAUGGAGGGAACUCUGAUGCAGCGACGCCGCGUGAGUGAUGAAGGAAUUCGUUUCGUAAAACUCUGUUCUAUGGGAAGAUAAUGACGGUACCAUAAGAAAAAGCCCCGGCUAACUACGUGCCAGCAGCCGCGGUAAUACGUAGGGGGCUAGCGUUGUCCGGAAUCACUGGGCGUAAAGGGUUCGCAGGCGGAAAUGCAAGUCAGGUGUAAAAGGCAGUAGCUUAACUACUGUAAGCAUUUGAAACUGCAUAUCUUGAGAAGAGUAGAGGUAAGUGGAAUUUUUAGUGUAGCGGUGAAAUGCGUAGAUAUUAAAAAGAAUACCGGUGGCGAAGGCGACUUACUGGGCUCAUUCUGACGCUGAGGAACGAAAGCGUGGGUAGCAAACAGG
rnacentral:rRNA from 1 species